UUUCAGUGAGGCUAGCUAAAAGAUCUUAAAUAUUGACUGCGUUCAGCUUGUUCAGUUGUACAUCCCAGCUGGUGUGGUUGUUUAACCGGGAUAGAAGUCACAUUGCUAGAUUAGGUGAUCGGGGAACAUAAAGAGAACCAGAUUUGUGCAUGCACGUCUUCGGACUAGGCAAGGGUUAAAUAGCAAAGGGCAUUUUAUGAGUAGUCCUCCAGGGAUCGUCAUCUUAUCGUGGUGGAGGCUUGUGAGAUCCCGAGAGCGAUGCCGGCCGGAGUUUAGCUCCAGGUAGGGUCACCCGUGGCAGCAAGGUCAGGGGAGAGGUUCCAGCCAAAGCGCGAUCCAACUAGCACCUCGAGGUUGGAACGGGCAGAAGAUGAAGGCGGGGGAAAGGCAUUGCACGCCACCGGACCCUGACACGGAUCUGUCAAGGUGGCUGUUCCAGCACCCGCCUCCCCACAUUAAACAAAGACACGCACAGACGUUCUCCGUUAAAGGAAUGACCCCUUGGGAGAGCAUCAUGCUCGACUCCAGUGAUGACACUACCACCGCUACUACUACCAGUUGUCUAAUAAUACACGGAAGUUACCAUAUUAACCAUGUUUAAAUAUCAGCAGUUGUUUACAAUACUUUGAUGAGCAUUGAUGGACAAAAAUAGACUCGAUUCGAUUACUCUCAGCGUCAAAUAACUAUUGGACACUUACAUUCAGUGACCUCUUUAUUAGGUACCCCCUGCACCAAAUGAAGCGGCCACUGAGCGAGUGUGUGUUCGUGGUCUAGCAGCUCAUCCACUUCAAGGCUCGAAAUGCUGCUGGAGGCGCUUUUCGACAGACCAGUGUUAUAUUGGAGAUACUGUCGCCUUCCUGUCAUCUUUCCUCCCCAUUCUGAUGUUUGGUCUGAACAACUACUGAACCUCUUGACCGUGUCGGCAAGCUUUUAUGCCUUGAGUUGCUGCCACGUGACUAGCUGUAGCGGAUUAGAUUUUUGCAUUAACGAGCGGAUGUACAGGUAUUCAUGUAUGGUUGAAUGACAAAAUUGAACUUGAGCUUCAGCAACUAUCCUGUCGAGUUCUCGGAAACUCAGUGAGACCUUUGAACAGUCUAAUGAUUAUAGGACUUAAUUAUAAGGAUCCAUAACUGCUAACUCUGCAUCCUUGUUCCCUGCUGUAACCGUGACUAACAGCUAUAAAGUGAUUCUGCAACUCCCAGCUUCGUGAGAGCAACAACCCACAAAACUGGUUCAGCUGUUUACUCAAAAUUAUUGUAAAACACUGUCACCAUAGAAAAGCAGCAUCCAGCAUCAAAGACUGUAGCACCCAGGCCGUGCUCUUCUCUUGCAGCUGCCAUCAGCUAGAAGGUACAGGUGCCUCAGGACUUGCACCACCACGUUCAAGGACAGUUAUAACCCCUCAACCAUUUAAGCUCUUGAACAAAAGGGGCUUAUUUCAUGUCUCUUUUAUCAUGUUCAUACUCAUUAUUUAUUGCUGUUUAUUUAUAUCUGCAUUGACACAGUUUGUAGUCCAUUGUCUACAGUUAUUGUUCUGCAGAUUUGCUGAGUAUGCCUGCAGAAAAAAAAUCUCAGGGUGGUAUGUGGUGACAUAAAUGUAUUCUGAUAAUAAACUUAACUUUGACUUUAACUUUGAAAUAACCCUAACCCUUUCUGAACUAUUUUAAAAAUCUUUGAAUUGUUAUUAAAAUAUAGAUCUGGGCUAUUAUUAUAAAACACUAUAUGGUAAAGUACCCUUAUUUUUCUCUUUUUUCUUACCAAUCAGCUUUGUCUUGGUAGGGGGUGUAGACUUUUUUAAUAAUAUAGUUAAGCAUACUAUUGUAUUUCAUCAUUCAAUUUGUUUUAUUUGAUUGAUUAUCAAUAUAGGACACCGAGAUUGUAUCAGUGUGAUUUAUAUACAGUGCAUUUUGUGCUAUCUUAUUUUGAUUUACAAUAAGUAUCCUUGUGAAUUCUGUAUUUGUGUGUAUGAAACAACAAAAAUAUUGGAAAAAGAAAG